rnacentral:tRNA from 1 species
UCCCUGGUGGCUCAGACGGUAAAGCAUCUGCCUGCAGUGCAGGAGACCCGGGUUUGAUCCCUGGGUUGGGAA